rfam:Ixodes scapularis strain Wikel colony gcontig_1108379689204, whole genome shotgun sequence.
UCUUGGUUAGCUCAAUUUGUACAGCGUUCCAUUGAAAAUGGAUAGGUUCCUAGUUUAAUACCAGGACCAGGCG